AUCCGGAGGAUGCGGGCGUUAUCCGGAUUUAUUGGGGUUAAAGGGAGCGUAGGUGGGAUAUUAAGUCAGCUGUGAAAGUUUGGGGCUCAACCUUAAAAUUGCAGUUGAUACUGGUUUCCUUGAGUACGGUACAGGUGGGUGGAAUUCGUGGUGUAGCGGUGAAAUGCUUAGAUAUCACGAAGAACUCUGAUCGCGAAGGCAGCUCACCGGGCCGGAACUGACACUGAUGCUCGAAAGUGCGGGUAUCAAACAGGAUUAGAUACCCUGGUAGUCCGCACAGUAAACGAUGAAUACUCGCUGUUUGCGAUACACGGUAAGCGGCCAAGCGAAAGCGUUAAGUAUUCCACCUGGGGAGUACGCCGGCAACGGUGAAACUUAAAGGAAUUGACGGGG
rnacentral:rRNA from 1 species